rnacentral:rRNA from 1 species
UACGGAGGGUGCGAGCGUUAAUCGGAAUUACUGGGCGUAAAGCGCGCGUAGGCGGUUAUUUAAGUCGGAUGUGAAAUCCCCGGGCUCAACCUGGGAAUUGCAUUCGAUACUGGAUAGCUAGAGUUCGGCAGAGGGAAGUGGAAUUUCUGGUGUAGCGGUGAAAUGCGUAGAUAUCAGAAGGAACAUCAGUGGCGAAGGCGACUUCCUGGACCAGAACUGACGAUGAGGCACGAAAGCGUGGGGAGCAAACAGG